rnacentral:rRNA from 1 species
UGCGUAACGCGUAUGCCAACCUGCCCCCAUCAGGGGAAUAGCCCGCCGAAAGGCGGAUUAAUGCCCCAUAGGCCCAGGGCGCCGCAUGGCGCUACGGGUAAAGCUCCGGGCGGAGUGGGGAUGGGCAUGCGUGCCAUUAGCUAGUUGGGGCGGUAACGGCGCACCAAGGCGACGAUGGCUAGGGGGUCUGAGAGGAUGGUCCCCCACACUGGUACUGAGACACGGACCAGACUCCUACGGGAGGCAGCAGUGAGGAAUAUUGGUCAAUGGGCGGAAGCCUGAACCAGCCAUUGCCGCGUGCAGGAUGACGGCCCUACGGGUUGUAAACUGCUUUUCCCCGGGAAGAAUAAGCCCCUCGUGAGGGGUGAUGCCGGUACCGGGGGAAUAAGGAUCGGCUAACUCCGUGCCAGCAGCGGC